rnacentral:rRNA from 1 species
CACGUAGGGUGCGAGCGUUGUCCGGAAUUAUUGGGCGUAAAGAGCUCGUAGGCGGUGUGUCGCGUCGGCCGUGAAAACCUGCAGCUUAACUGUGGGCUUGCGGUCGAUACGGGCAUCACUGGAGUUCGGCAGGGGAGACUGGAAUUCCUGGUGUAGCGGUGAAAUGCGCAGAUAUCAGGAGGAACACCGGUGGCGAAGGCGGGUCUCUGGGCCGAUACUGACGCUGAGGAGCGAAAGCGUGAGGAGCGAACAGG